AAAAAAAAAAUCACCCGUAAUAUAUCAUUAUUCAUCCCUAAGAGUAUCAUUUACAAAAAUACAGAGGGCAAUGGAUUCUUUCUUGGAAGGUUCAAAUCAAAACUGCAAACCUAACGUCUAAAAUAGAGCAUUAAGGAUACAAAUCUAUCGCAUCUUGACAUCAAUAGCUUCAAAAAUAUACAAAAAAAAAAAAUGACAGAAAUUUUGAAGGAAAAAGAAAUAAAAAAAUCAAAAUGGACUAUCCUCUACCUGAUUUCCUGUCCGUAGAUGGAACAGCAUAGGAAAAAACUUGAUUUGCAACCAGCUCUUUAACAUGGUCUUAGCCCUAACAAAACAAUCAAACUUACACUUCCCACACCAUCAGAACAGACUGAGGUAAAGCAUACCUGCUUUGACGUAAGAAAUCCAAAGAAAAGUUACAUAUGUCAGCACGCUAUUUCUUUAUCAACUAGAGCUUGUCCACAAGGAGCUAAGUCUGGAUGCAAGUUUUGCACUCUUGAAGUCCUCUCUAAGCUGAAUAAACCUUUGUGCAUCUUUACGGAUGCUGGGAGUCCCCUCAAACAAAGUGGAAAGGCUUUCAGGAGCCACAAUAAAUACAUUUGCCAUUAUGCCCAACAAUUCAAAUUUCUCAUCAACAGAAGGAGCAUUGAAACUUCGCACAAAUUCCCCAUACUCAGUUAUAUCUCGCUUCAGCCGUAGACCUCCACUGGGGUUAAAAGUGAAUUUCUGCCAGUGAUUAAGCAGCCCUUUAUUUAAGCGAUUUCCCAGUUCAGUCAGGAACGCUUGUUUGUUAAGACCUUCUAAUGCAGUAAAUGCAGCCUCAAGCACACGAGAAAGGUAUGCCACAACUCUUGUGCAAGCAUUUGUCGGCCGAUGAUCAGGAGCAAUUCCAUCAUCUGGUGAUCGAUAGUCUGUUGCCUUUUGUUCAGCAGAUAACAAUCGCUCUACCUCAGCCAUAACAGUUUCAAUGCAUUGCUGAAGCCCUUUAUAUGCAGCAGCUUCUGCACUGGACAUAGCUGUUGCCAUUUCUUCACAUGAAGCAGCAUGAGCACCAUCCACAGGUAGUAAGAGGCGAGAUAUAGAAUUUGCAAAAUAUUGCUGAACUAUAGCCACACUACUGCCACACCGUUGUACAGCAACCAUGAAAGAUCUGAAACUGCUCUCACCAGCUGCAGCAGCAGCUUCUGCAGCAGAAGCAGCCGCAGCCUUCUACUAACACUUGUGCCCAGAACAAACCUUUCCCUCAAAGCUGCAGCUUCAGUCAGGCUGUCUCUCGCCCUUUCAAGACCUUCUGUUAUGUAUUGCCCAACUUGGUCUAGCAAGCAAGUGAACACUGCUUUCACGUUGGCUGCAAGGGUAGUAGGUUGAGAUGAAAACAGCGAGCAUCUUGAUAUUGCUUCUUCAUUCCAACGCACAAAUUCUGUCACAGCAGUAACAGAUAUCUG
rnacentral:misc_RNA from 1 species